UACGUAGGGUGCAAGCGUUUGUCCGGAAUUAUUGGGCGUAAGAGCUCGUAGGCGGUUUGUCGCGUCUGCUGUGAAAACCCGAGGCUCAACCUCGGGCCUGCAGUGGGUACGGGCAGACUAGAGUGCGGUAGGGGGAGAUUGGAAUUCCUGGUGUAGCGGUGGAAUGCGCAGAUAUCAGGAGGAACACCAAUGGCGAAGGCAGAUCUCUGGGCCGUAACUGACGCUGAGGAGCGAAAGCAUGGGGGAGCGAACAGG
rnacentral:rRNA from 1 species